AACCGACAGGCUCUAAAGACAUACGGGGUCCUACUGUGCCGGACUUGCCUUUUUCAUGUAGGAUGUCAUGGAGCCGUUUCCAUGACAAUCCACAUGGGUCUGUGUUACCUUUUUCUGUGACUGCUUAGGGUCCCAUUCUGCCAGAGCACCGCACUGUUUAGGUGAGCACUCCGGAUGUACAUUUACCUUUACAUCCUGGUAGAAUUUCCCAGCUGAAAGAAGUCUGCUUUAAAUUUUGAUGAGACUCUUUUGAGAAAAUUUUCAUAGUUGAGAUGAUUAAUAGUUUGAACCUGGGAUGGGGAAAAACCGGCGUUGGUAGCAUUAGGGAAUGCUACAUUAUAGCAGAAGGAAAUGGGUUGGUCACUGUUCAAAAUGCAGUCAGAAAGCCCAGGGCCUCCCAUACCUUUCUACACCAGACAAACGCCAAUGUUGUCACAGCGGAGGAUAGGAAGAAAGGGAACAGAAGGCCUGGUAACUUUGGGAGCCGUUUUCCAGUGCUGGCGAUCUGUUUAGGAAGAAGAGACUGGAAAAUACAUUGUGGGCCAACACUGGGAAAUGGAAGAGGAUCUACUAUUUCUUUGAAAACAGCCGUUAGGAUACUGUUCCCUGGGGCCAAUUCCUGGCGGCUUUAACCACAGACAAAGCCUCAGGACCUGAAGAGUGCUGGUCCAAAGAAGGUGCUCAGUACAUAUCUGUUGGAUGAAUGAAGGAAAAACAUUACUUAUCCCUCUUACUACAUUGGAUAAGACUGAACAGAUUAUGGAGGUGCUCCAGAGUAAAAAGCACUAUUCAACUUUAUGUGCUAAUGAUAAUAAAGCAAUGCCUUCCUA